GUAACUUCAAUUCAAAAUAAAUAAUUUAUUGUUGUGUUGUGUGUUUCACACAUGGCUUCUUUAUAUCUUUUUUAACAAAGGCUGUUUGGAUAGUGUUUCAUUUUCCCCCUUUCUAUUAGUGUUCAAUUUUCAUGGUAUUGCCACAAUUCCAAAGGAGGCGGAUCGGUAUCAAGUAUUCUGUUAAUGAUUCCAGAGCUUCUUAUGAACUUCGACAUUUAGGUCGUUUGAUUUGUAGUUUACCGAGGUCUACAACCAUGGUGUAUGUGUUGUCUCCUUGAUUUUGCUAAUUUGAGUCAAGGAUGUAGGGUUUAAGCGUCAACAUCUCCUUCACUCUAUUUUUUGUUGUCGGCGCUGAAUCUCGAAAUGGAGGUUUUUGUGGUGGCUGAAAUUGUUGUGAAAUGACAGAAUUGCCAUUUAGAAUGAGAAUUUUGUGGAUGGCCAAAAUGUGUGAAAUGACAGAAUUGCCUUCCGGCCAAGCUGGCAGGACAACCGUCUCCUGCCUGCGUUGAGCCGCUUGGACAGCAACCUUUAAUUUAUGUAACAUAAAUAUUGUAGAUAAUUAAUUAUUAAAAUAAUUUAAAUUUUUAAUUAUUGUAAUUUAUAAUAUUUUUUUUAUUAUAAUUUAAGUGACACUGAUA